rnacentral:rRNA from 1 species
UAAGGAAUAUUGGUCAAUGGACGCAAGUCUGAACCAGCCAUGCCGCGUGAAGGAUGAAGGUCCUCUGGAUUGUAAACUUCUUUUAUCUGGGACGAAAACGGGAUUUUUAUCUCAAUUGACGGUACCAGAGGAAUAAGCACCGGCUAACUCCGUGCCAGCAGCCGCGGUAAUACGGAGGGUGCGAGCGUUAUCCGGAUUUACUGGGUUUAAAGGGUGCGUAGGUGGGCUUAUAAGUCAGUGGUGAAAUCUCCGAGCUUAACUUGGAAACUGCCGUUGAUACUAUAGAUCUUGAAUUAUCUGGAGGUAAGCGGAAUAUGUCAUGUAGCGGUGAAAUGCUUAGAUAUGACAUAGAACACCAAUUGCGAAGGCAGCUUACUACAUAUAAAUUGACGCUGAGGCACGAAAGCGUGGGG